AUUGAACGCUGGCGGCAGGCCUAACACAUGCAAGUCGAGCGGAUGAAAGGGGCUUGCUCCUGGAUUCAGCGGCGGACGGGUGAGUAAUGCGCAGGAAUCUACCUAGUAGUGGGGGAUAACGUUUCGAAAGGAACGCUAAUACCGCAUACGUUCUGAGGAAGAAAGCAGGGGAUCGUAAGACCUUGCGCUAUUAGAUGAGCUUGCGUCCGAUUAGCUAGUUGGUGGGGUAAAGGCCUACCAAGGCGACGAUCGGUAACUGGUCUGAGAGGAUGAUCAGUCACACUGGAACUGAGACACGGUCCAGACUCCUACGGGAGGCAGCAGUGGGGAAUAUUGGACAAUGGGGGCAACCCUGAUCCAGCCAUGCCGCGUGUGUGAAGAAGGCCUCGGUGUAAG
rnacentral:rRNA from 1 species